UUUAUCUUCACCAUGUUUUAUCCCUUUGUAUGGGUCCUAAACAACAUGGGUUGCCCGUGAUAUGGGACCACAACAAUUCACAAGAUCCAAAUCUAAUCCACGGGUUUCUUUUUAGGUCACUAAUCAAUCCUUCUUCUCUGUGUUUUUUGUUUCUUUGUCCCCACAUUUCCAUACAACACCCCCUUAGCUGCAUGAUAUUCAGUUAGGGACACUUCUUUUCAUCAACCAAUUUUAAGAAUAUGUGUGUGGCUUGAAAGGGAACUUGAAUCCCUCAUCUUUUUUAAGGAUGUGAUUGGAG
rnacentral:lncRNA from 1 species